CGGUCGUACUCCCCAGGCGGAGUGCUUAAUGCGUUAGCUGCAGCACUAAGGGGCCGGAAACCCCCUAACACUUAGCACUCAUCGUUUACGGCGUGGACUACCAGGGUAUCUAAUCCUGUUUGAUCCCCACGCUUUCGCACAUCAGCGUCAGUUACAGACCAGAAAGUCGCCUUCGCCACUGGUGUUCCUCCAUAUCUCUGCGCAUUUCACCGCUACACAUGGAAUUCCACUUUCCUCUUCUGCACUCAAGUUUUCCAGUUUCCAAUGACCCUCCACGGUUGAGCCGUGGGCUUUCACAUCAGACUUAAAAAACCGCCUACGCGCGCUUUACGCCCAAUAAUUCCGGAUAACGCUUGCCACCUACGUAUUACCGCGGCUGCUGGCACGUAGUUAGCCGUGGCUUUCUGAUUAGGUACCGUCAAGAUGUGCACAGUUACUUACACAUAUGUUCUUCCCUAAUAACAGAGUUUUACGAUCCGAAGACCUUCAUCACUCACGCGGCGUUGCUCCGUCAGGCUUUCGCCCAUUGCGGAAGAUUCCCUACUGCUGCCUCCCGUAGGAGUCUGGACCGUGUCUCAGUUCCAGUGUGGCCGAUCACCCUCUCAGGUCGGCUAUGCAUCGUUGCCUUGGUAAGCCGUUACCUUACCAACUAGCUAAUGCAGCGCGGAUCCAUCUAUAAGUGACAGCAAGACCGUCUUUCACUUUUGAACCAUGCGGUUCAAAAUAUUAUCCGGUAUUAGCUCCGGUUUCCCGAAGUUAUCCCAGUCUUAUAGGUAGGUUAUCCACGUGUUACUCACCCGUCCGCCGCUAACAUCAGAGAAGCAAGCUUCUCGUCCGUUCGCUCGACUUGCAUGUAUUAGGCACGCCGCCAGCGUUCAUCCUGAGCCAGGAUCAAACCCUC
rnacentral:rRNA from 1 species